UUCAUCUCCGGGGGUAGAGCACUGUUUCGGCUAGGGGGCCAUCCCGGCUUACCAACCCGAUGCAAACUGCGAAUACCGGAGAAUGUUAUCACGGGAGACACACGGCGGGUGCUAACGUCCGUCGUGAAGAGGGAAACAACCCAGACCGCCAGCUAAGGUCCCAAAGUCAUGGUUAAGUGGGAAACGAUGUGGGAAGGCCCAGACAGCCAGGAUGUUGGCUUAGAAGCAGCCAUCAUUUAAAGAAAGCGUAAUAGCUCACUGGUCGAGUCGGCCUGCGCGGAAGAUGUAACGGGGCUAAACCAUGCACCGAAGCUGCGGCAGCGACACUGUGUGUUGUUGGGUAGGGGAGCGUUCUGUAAGCCUGUGAAGGUGUGUCGUGAGGCAUGCUGGAGGUAUCAGAAGUGCGAAUGCUGACAUAAGUAACGAUAAAGCGGGUGAAAAGCCCGCUCGCCGGAAGACCAAGGGUUCCUGUCCAACGUUAAUCGGGGCAGGGUGAGUCGACCCCUAAGGCGAGGCCGAAAGGCGUAGUCGAUGGGAAACGGGUUAAUAUUCCCGUACUUGGUGUUACUGCGAAGGGGGGACGGAGAAGGCUAUGUUGGCCGGGCGACGGUUGUCCCGGUUUAAGCGUGUAGGUGUGUGUUCCAGGUAAAUCCGGUUCACUUUAACACUGAGGCGUGACGACGAGGCACUACGGUGCUGAAGCAACAAAUGCCCUGCUUCCAGGAAAAGCCUCUAAGCAUCAGGUAACAUCAAAUCGUACCCCAAACCGACACAGGUGGUCAGGUAGAGAAUACCAAGGCGCUUGAGAGAACUCGGGUGAAGGAACUAGGCAAAAUGGUGCCGUAACUUCGGGAGAAGGCACGCUGACACGUAGGUGAAGUGAUUUACUCAUGGAGCUGAAGUCAGUCGAAGAUACCAGCUGGCUGCAACUGUUUAUUAAAAACACAGCACUGUGCAAACACGAAAGUGGACGUAUACGGUGUGACGCCUGCCCGGUGCCGGAAGGUUAAUUGAUGGGGUCAGCGCAAGCGAAGCUCCUGAUCGAAGCCCCGGUAAACGGCGGCCGUAACUAUAACGGUCCUAAGGUAGCGAAAUUCCUUGUCGGGUAAGUUCCGACCUGCACGAAUGGCGUAAUGAUGGCCAGGCUGUCUCCACCCGAGACUCAGUGAAAUUGAACUCGCUGUGAAGAUGCAGUGUACCCGCGGCAAGACGGAAAGACCCCGUGAACCUUUACUAUAGCUUGACACUGAACAUUGAGCCUUGAUGUGUAGGAUAGGUGGGAGGCUUUGAAGUGUGGACGCCAGUCUGCAUGGAGCCGACCUUGAAAUACCACCCUUUAAUGUUUGAUGUUCUAACGUGGACCCGUUACCCGGGUUGCGGACAGUGUCUGGUGGGUAGUUUGACUGGGGCGGUCUCCUCCUAAAGAGUAACGGAGGAGCACGAAGGUUGGCUAAUCCUGGUCGGACAUCAGGAGGUUAGUGCAAUGGCAUAAGCCAGCUUGACUGCGAGCGUGACGGCGCGAGCAGGUGCGAAAGCAGGUCAUAGUGAUCCGGUGGUUCUGAAUGGAAGGGCCAUCGCUCAACGGAUAAAAGGUACUCCGGGGAUAACAGGCUGAUACCGCCCAAGAGUUCAUAUCGACGGCGGUGUUUGGCACCUCGAUGUCGGCUCAUCACAUCCUGGGGCUGAAGUAGGUCCCAAGGGUAUGGCUGUUCGCCAUUUAAAGUGGUACGCGAGCUGGGUUUAGAACGUCGUGAGACAGUUCGGUCCCUAUCUGCCGUGGGCGCUGGAGAACUGAGGGGGGCUGCUCCUAGUACGAGAGGACCGGAGUGGACGCAUCACUGGUGUUCGGGUUGUCAUGCCAAUGGCACUGCCCGGUAGCUAAAUGCGGAAGAGAUAAGUGCUGAAAGCAUCUAAGCACGAAACUUGCCCCGA
rnacentral:rRNA from 1 species